rnacentral:rRNA from 1 species
CUACGGGGUGCACCAGUGGGGAAUAUUGCACAAUGGGGGAAACCCUGAUGCAGCAACGCCGCGUGGAGGAUGACGCAUUUCGGUGUGUAAACUCCUUUUAUAUAGGAAGAUAAUGACGGUACUAUAUGAAUAAGCACCGGCUAACUCCGUGCCAGCAGCCGCGGUAAUACGGAGGGUGCAAGCGUUACUCGGAAUCACUGGGCGUAAAGCGCGCGCAGGCGGCCUUUUAAGUUGGAUGUGAAAGCCUAUGGCUUAACCAUAGAACUGCAUCCAAAACUAUCAGGCUAGAGUCUGGGAGGGGGAGAUGGAAUUAGUUGUGUAGGGGUAAAAUCCGUAGAGAUAACUAGGAAUACCAAAAGCGAAGGCGAUCUUCUGGAACAGUACUGACGCUGAGGCGCGAAAGCGCGGGGAGCAAACAGGAUUAGAUACCCGUGUAGUC